AUGGAGUCUGUGCUUGGCUGGGUUUUCCUUGUUGGUAUUUUAAAAGGUGUCCAGGGUGCGGAGCAGCUGGUGGAGUUUGGAGGACACAUGGUGAAUCCUGGGGGGUCGCUGGGUCUCUCCUGUCAGGCCUCUGGAUUCAAAUUCAGUAGCUAUGGCAUGAGCUGGGUCCGCCAGGCUCAAAAGAAGGGGCUGCAGUGGGUCGGACAUAUUAACUAUGAUGGAAGUAGCACAUACUACGCAGAUACUGUGAGGGACAGAUUCACCAUCUCCAGAGACAACACCAAGAACACGCUGUAUCUGCAGAUGAACAGCCUGAGAGCCGAGGACACGGCCGUGUAUUACUGCAUGAGGAACACAAACCACCGAGAUCCUUAUACAGGUUGGUAG